AACGUAGGAGACAAACGUUAUCCGGAGUUACUGGGCGUAAAGGGCGUGUAGGUGGUUUCGUAAGUCUGGCGUGAAAUUUUUCGGCUUAACCGGGAAAGGUCGUCGGAUACUGCGGAACUAGAGGACGGUAGAGGCGUGUGGAAUUCCGGGUGUAGUGGUGAAAUGCGUAGAGAUCCGGAGGAACACCAGUGGCGAAGGCGGCUUCCUGGCCUGCAACUGACGCUGAGACGCGAAAGCGUGGGGAGCGAACCGG
rnacentral:rRNA from 1 species